AAGAAGACGAGUGAAAAGGAGGAGGAGAAAAAUGAAGAGAAACAAGAGGAGCAAAUAAAUGAGCAGAAAAAGGAGGAUGAACCCAAGAAGGAAGAACAGACAACUGGUCCUGCUCCUGUGCCUCCCUCUCCAGCUCCUGUUGCUCCUGUUAACCCAGAAGGGGGUGAA